rnacentral:rRNA from 1 species
ACCGUGAGGGAAUGGUGAAAAGUACCCCGGGAGGGGAGUGAAAGAGUACCUGAAACCAUGUGCUUACAAUCCGUCAGAGCCACCCUGGUUGUGGUGAUGGCGUGCCUUUUGAAGAAUGAGCCUGCGAGUUAGCGGUGCGUGGCGAGGUUAACCCGUGUGGGGUAGCCGUAGCGAAAGCGAGUCCGAACAGGGCGGUGUCAGUCGCGUGUCCUAGACCCGAAGCGGAGUGAUCUAGCCAUGGGCAGG